rnacentral:lncRNA from 1 species
CUGGGAAAGGCACAGGAGCUGAGCUGGGCCUGUGAAUGAAUAGAAUCUGGACAGGGAUGAGGCAAGGAGACAGGAGUGAUCUCUCCACCCUGGGCCCAGCCUACCACAGAAGUUCCUGAAUAUCCAGGGAGAGGCAAUUUCUUCUGUAUCUCCAUCCUAAUGAUGUGUCUGCUUGGCAUUGGUCUGGUUCCUUCAGGACCUCAGAAGCUGUAUUGGUUCAAUGAAUGCUAAAUAUCCCAGGAGCCUGAUCUUUUAAGAGUUCAAAGAGUUCAUGGGACACAUAUGGGUAGCCCAGCACUGAUUAUACCCAUGAAAUUAAGAAGCUUGUCCCUUGUCCCUAAAGCAAUUGUCCCAGGUGUUAGUGUGAUCUCAGGACCCAGUACUUAGUCUUAUCCAAGACUAUAGGAGCAGUUCAACAGUGCAGCAAGAAGGAGGAGCUCCCACCUCAGGAUGUGUCCAUGUUUUCCAGUUGUCUGCCAGUUGCCGGUUGUCUGACCUGUGAAUAGAAGCUCAACUGAGAGUACUCUCCAAUCUUCCAACUGGCUGUUUGCCUGAAGCUGAUAAUGGAUGAUGAUAGUAACUCAGAUAAAGCUCCCAAUAAAUCUUCAUUAUCCUCA